rnacentral:rRNA from 1 species
AUGAGGAUAACGACCUGGAACUGUUGCAGUUUGGGGAACGACCCGACAGUGAGAGGGCUUCUAGAUCUACAGAAGCGGGAGGACCCCAACUUUCUCUUCUGGUUGGAAAUGAAGCUAGACAGGAAGCAAAUGGAGAGUUUUAAAUGGAAGGUUGGUACGAGCAAUAUGAUCGCAAGGAGUUGUGAAGGGAAAAGCAGAGGUUUGGCUUUAUUGUGGAAGAAAGAUGUCAGUAUUGAGCUUCGUAUCCUCUCAAGAUACCACAUAGAUGUGGAAUUCAUUGAGGAAGACAAAUUCAGAUGGCGGUUUACUGGGAUUUAUGGGGAAGGUAAAAUGUGA